rnacentral:tRNA from 1 species
GCCUGAGUGAUUCAGUUGGUUAAGUGUCUGACUUCAGCUCAGGUCAUGAUCUGACGGUUCGUGGGUUCAAGCCCCACAUCCGGCU